UAAUAUAAUGAUAAUUAAAAUAUCACAUCACCGCCAUAUAUCAGUACUAUUAAUAAAUCUAAUUUAUCGACCGUCCCUAACGCAAAUGACAAAAGAACUUGAUGGUUGGUAUCCGAGACCCAAGUUUGAAUCCUAGUUGAUUCACAUUUCCAGCUAAGUUUAUUUCUAAAUAAAAUAAACAAAGCGGAUAGCAUGCUACAUUUCUCUCUAAAAAAAAAAAAUUAAAUUUAAUUUGUUUAUAGCACAAUUGAAUCUAAU
rnacentral:lncRNA from 1 species